UACCAGGUAACCAGCCAUCAACAGCAGCCUCAACUCACUCACUUCUCUGGAGGCACUAGAAGAGCAAGGAUGUUCUCUUGCUUCAGGUGUUUUGGUUGCUCACGCCGCCAAAAACCAAAGCUUCCUGGCCGGUUCCGACGUGUGCUGCGAAGUAUUUGUGCACACCUCUGUCUAUUUUCCUGUAGGAAAAAUGAGGAUGACAGGAUUCAGGAAGACGGCCCCAUAUUUGAUCCACGGAGCCCAACCUAUAUGCAAGACGUUAUCAAUCAUAUACCAAAAGCCUAUAAGGAUGGGAAUUACCUAUUUAUAGGUAUAAUAUUGACUAUCUACCAUAGGUUUGUGACCACCUGGGAGAUGCUGGACUUAAUUAUGGACACGUAUGGACCUUUGCAGCCAGACUGUAUGGAGGAUCAGGAAAAAAGGAAGUGAGUUGGCUUGGGUGACGAGGGAGUGCCUUGUUAUCCUUCCUAUCAAUAUGGACGUCAAAACAACCCCAGGACUUCAGGUCUCCAAACCUUGCCGUGGCCAAGAGGCUCGUGAAAUAUCUAUGGCCCGAUGAGCCUGCAAAAGACUUCACUCUCCAAGGGGAGGCGCUGGAGGAGCAGGACUGUAAAAUGGAUGAUGGACUCCUCAGGGAAGUUAAUACAGAGGCACCCAUGCAGGAUGCAUUAGGGAUGGUGGAGACUCUACAUGUGGGACCAACUUCUGUGGCAGAGCCCCGGGAAUUUCUGAAAACCCAAGAUGACACAGACCUGGCCCUUGGGGAACCAACCGUGCCAGAAGCUGGACCAGUACCACUUCAAACUUCAGACCAGCCUCUGCCCACUGAUGCACAGCCACCUCUAGAAGUGGCUGCAGAUGUUCCAGAUGCUGGGCGGCUCUUUCUAGUUUCUGUUGUGCAACUGGGUGCACCAGAGCCCUUUUUCCCUCUGCCUGAUGUUGACAUAGAUUGAGAUUGUUUAUUACCUGCCGAGUUCCACCCAGGACCAGCUGUCCUUCCCGUCUUUAGAGAAAGUAUCUCCUUUCGUUGUGUUUAAAACUUUUUAUUGUUGUUUUCAAAGUUAAUAUUAAUAUUGCCUUUAAUUAUAUUUAAUUAUUUUUCCUUGUUUUUUCAAUAUUAAUAUGUAUUAAUAAACAUUAAGUAUGCCUA